rnacentral:sRNA from 1 species
UUCGGAGCUGGGGCCUUGCACUUCCUAGGCAAGCGCUCUACCACUGAGCUAAAUCCCCAACCCCCUGCUUCAGCUUUUGAAGGGAGCUUUUAGCGGACACACCUGCCAUGCCAAGUGUAGUUGGAACAUUGACCCCAAGGAGAAACGUCCUUCUUUCAUCCAGUAGGUUGGAGUUUCCAAACCAGACCCCGCACUCUUAGACCUAACCAGGAGGGCAGACUUGUCGGUUUGAUUUUUCCACUCGAUGUUACUUUCAGAUGGCCACGCGGCGAAUUCCCUUUGAGGUUUCCAGUCUUAUAACGCAAGUCUCAGCACACUUUGCUCUGCAACAUCUCAUCUGUAGAAAAUCCCCAAGUCUCCGAGGCGUCGUCGUUUACUCAUCAUGGCACCCUGAGAAUCCCAGCAGGCUCAGGAAUCAGCUCAAACGCGGGGAUUCGCUCUGCCGAAGCCCUUAUUAGCUAAAAGCCUGCUAUAAAGACACACUCAGCUCUGGUGCGUGGUGCACACACCUGUGCGCCCAGUACUCAGGAGGCAAGGAAACACUGGAUUAUUGUAGUAUAAAAGUGGUCGGAUGACAUGCUUUCCUCAUGCACGUGCUAAUGAGAAUGCUGGGAAACGAGAACACUUAUUUAUUUAUUGUUGCUGGGAGUGCAAACUUGUACAGCCACUAUGGAAAUCAGUGUGGAGGUUCUUCAGAAGGUAAGAACUGAUCUGUCGAAAAGUCCAGCGAUGCCAUUCUUGAAUGUGAACUCAAAGGUCUUUCCAUCCUAUGACAGAGACACUCACUCAUCUAUGUUUACUGCUUUAUUCACGAGGGCCAGAAAUUGGAAGCAGCCUAGAUGGUAGUCAACCCAGGAAUGAAUAAUGGAGACGUGGUACAUUUACACAAAGGAACAUUAUUUAACUGUUUAGAAAAAAUAAAUUGACAAGGAAAUGGGUGGAGUAAGAAAAAGACAUCAUCCUGAGUAAAGUAAUCCAGACCCUGAAAUAUAAAUAUGGUUUGUGUUCUCUUAUAGGAGGGUGAUAGCUUCUUAGCCUUUGACACGUGUGCUACAAUAAGAAUAGCCACAGAAGUCAGGUACCUGGUAAGGCACUAGGCAGGCGCAUACAACCCCCAAGGAAGGGGAGAUAGAAUAUAUUGUUAUGAAAAGGAGAAUUAAAUAGGAGGAAGGUUGAAAGAGAAGGGUGGAAGGAGGACUGUGGGGAUGACGACUCACACUAAAGGUCAUUUGAAAAAGUCUAUGAAAAUCUCCUACUGUAGAAGUCUCCUAAAAUGUGUACCUAUGUGAAAUGAAUCCAAAUGUACUCACCAAAUGA